rnacentral:misc_RNA from 1 species
GCGGCCCAGCGCGAGUCUGGAGAAGCUCGAAUUUGGUAGUGGCGAUGUAUGCCGUCUGGCGCGAGUAAGCCUCCGGCAGUUGCAGUGGUGGGAUGAGAGGAACAUUAUCUCGCCGCACCAGCAGGGCCACCGGCGUAUGCAUCUCGUUUCAGAGGUCAUCGGGAUGAUGGUCAUUGCCGAGCUGCGGCGCAAGGGAUUCUCGCUUCAGAAGAUCCGGUCGAUUCUGCGGUCCGUGCAGC